GGAGUCAAGCCCCCCUGCACCUGAAGCCCCUGGCCUGGAGAAUGGAGCACCACCUCUAUCCCAUUACUCUACCUGCUGCCAGCACACACACACACACACAGGAAUACUUUCCUCUUGAAAGAAACAAAAAACUCACAACUUCUGGUCCCUGUGACAGCCUGGCCUUGGGAUGCACCCAUAUUGCCUAGAAGCACUUGGCUAAACUCACACACACACACACACACACACACACACACAAACAUAGAGACACACAGAUACACCGAAUUCCUCUAAUGUAUCAGCAAUACCCAGGAAAUAAAAUUCCAGCCCGCGGUAAUUAGGUGGGAGUGAGGCUACAUGGUCACAGACAGAUGCACGUUGCCAUGGAAAGGGGCAAGGGUAGGCUUGUCUCAUCCAUUCGGUUGCUAUGGUGAAGGACAGGCCUCUUUUGCCUCUCAAACUGGAUGUACAUUUCGGACACUGGGCCAGUCAGAGAACACGGAAACACACGGCUAGCUCAGCCGCUAGCACGGACCUCUGUUGGAUGUUAACCAAUGCUGUACAGCUUGGACUACCAGACACAGUAUAUAUCUAUGUAAAAACACAUCAAGCCCCGGCAGUGGGUGUGAACAGAGAUCUAUCUAUAUGUGGGACAUGUCGUGGAGAUUGUUUUCAAUCAGAGAUUUUGGAAGGGUUUUGUUUUUCUUUUUUUCUCUCUUCUUUUUUUGAAAAAAAAAACCCAACAAAAAACAAACAUUAUUUACACAUUCCCUUCUUCGGUGUCAUGUUGAUAUAGUGUAUGGAUGAUAAUGGUGGCAUUUAUUGUGGUUUCUGACAUUUGAAAAAAAAAAAUAAAGUGGAUGGGAGAAGUGUCCCCCUUUCUCUGGAUCUGAGGAGAACCGGUUCCUGUUUCUGUGUCCUCUGAAGAGAGCAAUUUUUUUGUAGUUUUCCUUGUACUUUUUCCUGUUAUGAUCCUCAUCCUCUGGAGAACAGGUUCCUAUGGUGUUCCUUAUCCUCCAGAGAACAGGUUCCUAUGGUAUUCCUUAUCCUCUAGAGAACAGGUUCCCAUAGUGUGCCUUAUCCUCUAGAGAAAAGGUUCCUAUGGUGUGCCUUAUCCUCUAGAGAAAAGGUUCCUAUGGUGUGC
ensembl:lncRNA